CCCCUGAUUUUUCAGAAAUACCUUUCUUCUCUUCUGAGCAGCUUAUCUGACGCCAAAGAUGUGGGCGAAGCUCUCAAACGAUUUACAUCUAUUCGGAUCCAACGGCUGCGGAAACGUUUGCAUCCAAAAAAGUUCUUCCUGUAAGAAAAGGUAGUAUGUGGUUAAACAGUUUACUCUCUCCUUAUAUUCUAAACUAAAACUUAAGAAUCUAACUUAAGACAGUAUGUGGUUCGUCUUUGUUUUGUUGCAGUCAGCAGCUGGGGCUGAGACAGUAGGAUCUCUUUCGUGUUGAUCAUACAAGGUAUUUUGCUAGCCUCAGAUUUUUAUAUUUUUCUAUGAGAAUAAAUGGAGUAUGAAAAGAAAUUAACCAAUCCCUAGCACUUAUAAUCAACUCCACUAUCUCCUUCUCUUUUCUUAACCAACUCAACUCACUUUUACCAUAUCAUUGAAGUUUGCGAUAUAGAGCUCGAAAACAAAGCCAAGGAAGUGGCAGAGCUGAAAACAGAGAGGCUGACCUAGAGAGAAUUAUUGAAACCAAAGAGAUCAAUGAAACUGAACUAUAAGAAUAACUCUCUUAUUUAUCUCAAGGCAAAACUAACUCAAACAACCUUGAGCUUGUUCAAUCUCACACACUUGAUCCAAUCAUAACUCGAUGGAUCUAUUAUAUAGAUAACAAGUAAACCUAAUCCUAACUAACUUGUGUUAUAGAUAACUCCUAAAACAUAUUUGUCUUUAUCUCAAAUCUCAACUAGAUUAGGAUUACUUGUAUCGCAAGUCUUCAUGCUUCUUCAUUUAUCUUCAAGCUUAUUCCAACAUUCCCUCCUUUAAGCUUGAAGUUGCUUUCUGUUGAAUCCUGAACACCAAUGAACUCCCUCAUCUCCUUGAACUUGAUUCUCCCAAGUCCCUUAGUGAGUAUAUCAGCUUUCUGUUUGUCUCCCGCGACGAACUCAACAUCCACUUGUCCAUUCUCUACACAUUCUCUGAUGAAAUGGUACCUUCUGUGUAUGUGCUUGCUACGUCCGUGGAAGACUGGGUUUCUGGUCAGUGAUAUCGCAGAUUUGUUGUCUACUCGGAUGAUUACCUUCUCGCAUUCCUCGCCUGUGACUUCACUCAAGAGUUCUUGAAGCCAUAUCGCUUGCUUGGCUGCUUCAGUAGCUGCCAUAAAUUCAGCUUCACAAGACGACAGUGUCACAACCUCUUGUUUCUGUGAGCACCAUGUAAUGGGGCUUUCUCCAAGAUAGAACAUAUUCCCUGUUAUACUUCUUCCGUCGUCGACGUCCACAUUGAGAGAACUAUCGCUGUAGCCUAGGAGCUUUGCUUUGUCUGCACGUCCAUAGGUCAGUCCGUAGCCGAGUGUUCCACGUAUGUACCUUAGAACAUGCUUUAGUGCAGCAUCGUGCGACUCCUUAGGAUCAAGCAUAUACCGACUCAAGACUCCAAUGCUGUAAGAGAGGUCAGGUCUUGUGUGAACAAGAUAGCGCAGACAGCCAAUACUCCUCCUGUACUUCUUCUCAUCAGUUGAUGCUUCUCCUUCACCCUUUGAUAGCUUCAAGCUUCCAUCCAUUGGUACAUGAACGGAAUUGCAGUCAUCCAUCCCCGUCUCAGACAAGAUUUUAGUCGCAUAUCUCUCCUGCCUUAAGGUGAUCCCAUCGUCAUGCUGCAAUACCUCAAUCCCCAAGUAGUAAGUCAACCUUCCCAAGUCACUCAUCUCGAACUUGGCUGAUAUUUCCCUCUUGAACUCAGUUAUCAUCUUCAAGUUAGAACCUGUUACCAGUAGAUCAUCCACAUAUACUGCAAUAAUAAGAAGAUCUUUGUUACGUUUCUUUUGGUAUAGUGAAGGUUCCUUAGAGCAUCUUGUAAAGUUUAACUCCCUGAGAAUCUGAUUGAGCUUAUCAUUCCAUACUCUGGGAGCUUGCUUUAGACCAUAGAGCGCUUUAGACAGUUUGUAGACCUUCUCCUCACUGCCCUUAACCUCGAAACCUUCAGGCUGUGAUACGUAGACUUCCUCUUUCAAAUCCCCGUGAAGGAAUGCGGUCUUUACGUCUAAGUGAUGCACUUCCCAACCAUGAGACGCAGCCAAGGCAAUGAUAAGCCUGAUUGUUUCGAUCCUAGCAACCGGGGCGAACACCUCGUCAUAAUCUAUUCCAUGUUUCUGCACAUAACCCUUUGCUACCAGUCUUGCUUUGUAUUUGUUCACGCUUCCGUCCGGGUUCCGUUUGAUCUUGAACACCCACUUUAAUCCAUUGGACUUAACUCCUGCAGGUAAGUCAACUAGAACCCACGUUUGGUUCUUCUCUAUCGAAAGUAUCUCAUCCUCACACGUUGUUAGCCACACUUUCAUACCUUUAGCUUCAGAGAAGUUCCACGGUUCAUCGUUAAUUGCCAUAAGGAGCGUCUCACACUCGGCUUCAGCCACCAGAAUAUAAUCAGAUAGAUACUCUGGUGUUGUUCUUGCUCUGGUUGAGCGUCUCAGCUGUGGUUCUUCCUGUUGUUCUUCUUCGUUGUCUGAGAUCUCUAUAACCUCAUUCUCAGCUUCUGUAUGAUCACCAACCUGUUCUGUUAUAGUGUCUUUAGUGCACUCAUCAGACUCCAUACUGAACUCGAUCUCUUUCAAUCCUCUGUUUCCAAACUCUCCUAAGUUGAUACUGAAUGAACCAAUAUCGGUUUCCUUCUCUUGACUGAUCCAGCUCCAGCCUUCGUCCUCCAAGAACACUACAUCUCGACUAACUGUAAUUUUCUUACUCUUAGGGCACACGAGACGAUAAGCCUUGGUCCCCGGCUCUGUUCCAAGGUGGAUCAGAGCUCGUGACCGGUCAUCUAGCUUCUUGACGUGUGGCGCCUCUACUUUCGCAUAUCCAACGCAACCAAAUACUCGUAAAUGGGCAAUGUUAGGCUUGCUCCCUUUGAACACCUCGUAAGGAGUCGCGGCAUCAAGUGUUCUGGUCGCAGCUCUGUAUAUAAGGUACGUAGUGUGCCUUACUGCCUCUCCCCACAUGUAAUUAGGAACACUUCUAUGCUUCAGUAUGCUCCUCGUCAUCUCCAAUAUUGUUCUAUUGCGUCUCUCCACUACUCCAUUCUGCUGGGGGGAGUAUGGCGCAGUUAGAUGCCUCUCGAUACCACUCUCUUCGCAGAACAUGUUGAAUUCUCUGGAUGUAAACUCACCACCCCUGUCGGUACGGAAUGUUUUGAUUGAGACUGCAGCUUCUUAUUCAACAGAUACCUUAAACUUCUUAAAUUUUGCAAAGGCUUCACUCUUCUCCUUCAUAAGAAUCGUCCACAUGUAACGAGAGUAAUCAUCAAUCAAUACAAACACGUAUCUGUUUCUCCCAAUCGUCGGUAGUGUAAUUGGACCACAGAGAUCACCACGUAUGAGUUCGAGUUUCUUUGAUGCUCGGUAGGUAGUUGCAGCUGGAAAGGACCGUCUUGGUUGCUUACCAAGUAGACAGGAUACGCAUGUUUUCUUCAUCACCAUAAUCUUUGGUAUUCCUGUAACUAACUCUUUAUCAACCAUUUGACGCAUGUUCUCAAAGUUAAUGUGUCCAAGUCUCGCGUGCCACUUGCUCGAGACAUCAGACGUUAUAAUCUGUAAGCACGAAGGACUCUCAGCAUCAAGUGCAACUUUAUACAGACGAUUUCUUCCUCUACUGGAGCGUAUUAGUAGCUUGCUGUCUCGAUCAUAUAGUUCUAAGACAUCCUCCUUCAUCCGUAUCUCACAUCCUGUCUCAGUAGCCUGUCCUAGACUUAUGAUAUUGCUCCUCAGCGCUGGUAUAAAGUAUACAUUUGACAUCGUCUUCCUUUCUCCAUUCUUGAGAACGAAGCUAAUAGAGACUUUCCCUUUAAUGUCAAUGCGACUGUCAUCACCAAACUUAACUUUUCCUGUUAUAGUCUCAUCAAGUGUGGUAAAGUAUGAUCGAUUUCCCGUCAUGUGGUUGCUAGCCCCAUUGUCCAAGUACCACACGUUGUUGUUUAAGUUUUCCCUAAAAACUUCAGGUUUCACCCUUUCCUCGUUGAGAAACACUACUUCAUUUAACAUCAACUCGUCAGCCAGAGCAGUAUCUUCUUCUUUAGUCUCUUGUGCUAUUUGCAGUUUGAGCAAACGGUCGGGACAGUCACUUGCGUAGUGUCCCAAUUUAUCGCACCGAUAACAUGUAAUGUUUGCUGUGUCUCGAACUUGAUAGACGUACCGUCCACGACCUCUUCCUCCUCUGUUAUUGAACCUUCCUCCCCGACCACGGCCUCUGCCGUCGGUAUUGUUUCCUCGAUUUUCUCCAUUGGAGCUACGACCGUACUGCUGAUCUGAGCUUGCAUACAUUAGUUUGCUAUGUUCUUCCAACGUCUCUUCUUCUGCAUUAAUGCGUUCCUCAUACGCUUUAAGUCGUCCAAUUAUGUCCUCAAAACCAGUUGUUUUAAGAUCUAAUACUUGCUCCAAAGCUGCGACUAUGUGUAUGUACUUUUUGUGUGGAAGAAUCUUUAAGAACUUCUUAACGAGCUUUGGUUCCUCAAUCUCUUCUCCAAGUGCAGCAGAUUUCGAAGAGAUUUCAGAAAUCCUACCUGUAAACUCGUCAAUAGUUUCAUUAUCCUUCAUCUUCAGCCGGUCGAACUCCGCCAUAAGCGUUUGUAGUCGAGCCUCCUUUACUCUGUCAGCACCCAUGUGUCUAGUUUUAACAGCAUCCCAAACCUUCUUCGCAGUAUCCAGCUCUCCGACUUGUAAAACUAGAGUUUCGGGUAUUGAUUGUACUAACAAGGCCAUGGCCAUGUUAUUUUUCUCGUCGUCUGCAUCUUCUCUCUCAAACUUUGUGUAAUUUUAAUAGAAUCUUCAUCUUGAUUGCCCAUACUGUAUAGUUAGUAGCAUUCAGCACUGGACACUUUAUUGAUGACGAUCCUGUCUCCUUCGGCUUUGAUGUAGAAACCGUAAGAUCCCCCAUGGUUUCAACUUAAGCUCUGAUACCAAAUAUUGAAACCAAAGAGAUCAAUGCAAUUGAACUAUAAGAAUAACUCUCUUAUUUAUCUCAAGGCAAAACUAACUCAAACAACCUUGAGCUUGUUCAAUCUCACACACUUGAUCCAAUCAUAACUCGAUGGAUCUAUUAUAUAGAUAACAAGUAAACCUAAUCCUAACUAACUUGUGUUAUAGAUAACUCCUAAAACAUAUUUGUCUUUAUCUCAAAUCUCAACUAGAUUAGGAUUACUUGUAUCGCAAGUCUUCAUGCUUCUUCAUUUAUCUUCAAGCUUAUUCCAACAAGAAUUGCCAGGCUGAAACAUGCA
rnacentral:lncRNA from 1 species